rnacentral:tRNA from 3 species
GCUGCCGUAGCUCAGUGGUAGAGCACUCCCUUGGUAAGGGAGAGGCCGUCAGUUCAAUCCUGACCGGCAGCACCA